rnacentral:lncRNA from 1 species
CUCCAGUCCGUCAUGAAGUUGAGGAAGGUGAUAGCAGUGAUGAAGAGGAGGGAAGAAAGUUUGGUGCAGCUGAUACUUUCAGAAUGCCAGAUGAGGUUGAUAUUUCACAUCUUAGUUGAACCUAUGGUUAGAUCGAGUUUAUGUUUGAUUGAUGAACUAUGAACCUAUGUUUAGAUUGAGAUUAUGUUUGAUUGAUGUUACGACUUACAGCUAGUGAACAAUCAUUGACUAGAUCUUGGUUAGACGCAGUCGUUAACUCAUACAGCACAUGUAGAUUUGAUUCAUGCU